GUUCAUCAUUUAUAUCACAUGAAUGUAAAAAUUGAAAUAAAAUUAAUCUAAAUCUUCUAAUGCUGGAAAAUUUCACAUCUGUGCGCAUCCUAAAAGGAUAUAGAAUCCUCUGUGACUAUCUUCUUGACAAAUAUCGAUGUUUUUCUUUUGUUUCCGGCAAAUAACUAAUAUUUCUUUAUGAAUAGAAGUAACAGCUGAUGAGAAUUUGUAUUAUGUUGGAACAGAAGUCGUGAAUUCUUACUGGUCUUCCUUUUUGAGAGACUAUAAGAAGAAGGCAAAAACAAGAUGGACAUGAUAAUUGAUACUCUCGAUACAAACAUCGAUGAAUUAGGCACUUGUUAUUAGAGGUCAUUGAAGGAGAAAUUGUUCAACAUCCUGAAAAUGAGUACCUACUCAACAUAUGUUUCUACUUUUUUUAUAGAAUAUGAAGGUGAGAAAGAAUAU